rnacentral:rRNA from 1 species
CGAACGCUGGCGGCAGGCUUAACACAUGCAAGUCGAGCGCCGUAGCAAUACGGAGCGGCAGACGGGUGAGUAACACGUGGGAACGUACCUUUUGGUUCGGAACAACACAGGGAAACUUGUGCUAAUACCGGAUAAGCCCUUACGGGGAAAGAUUUAUCGCCGAAAGAUCGGCCCGCGUCUGAUUAGCUAGUUGGUGAGGUAACGGCUCACCAAGGCGACGAUCAGUAGCUGGUCUGAGAGGAUGAUCAGCCACACUGGGACUGAGACACGGCCCAGACUCCUACGGGAGGCAGCAGUGGGGAAUAUUGGACAAUGGGCGCAAGCCUGAUCCAGCCAUGCCGCGUGAGUGAUGAAGGCCCUAGGGUUGUAAAGCUCUUUUGUGCGGGAAGAUAAUGACUGUACCGCAAGAAUAAGCCCCGGCUAACUUC